AGGGGCGUAGCUCAGUUGGAAGAGUGGCGGUCUCCAAAACCGCAGGUCGCAGGUUCGAGCCCUGCCGCCCCUG
rnacentral:tRNA from 1 species